CAGGCAACAGGGAUCCGCAGCAGAGGGAUGAAAGAGCCACAUGUGGCUCCAGAGCUGCGGGUUGCUGACCCCUGUGCUAGACACAAUGUAGUCCUGACAAUCUAGAUUGCUAAUUUAUUCUGUUUGGCGCUUUGCACGUCUAUCUUGGUGCACUGUGAGGGAUGAAGUAGCUUUACACCAAUUAACUAGUGGUGCUUAGGUUGCUGGCUCUUUCAGGCUUCUCCAUCACUCUCCCCUCCCCUUGCCUCGUGUCAUGAUGCUUUGUGUGUGGCCAGGACCAGCCCAGGUUUCCGCUCUCCACACACACAAAUGCAACUAGUUUCCCCCACCACCAAAGUGGUACCCAUUUAUCUAUUAGCAAUAUUGCAUGCUUUCGAAUUGCUGGGUGGUAGGAGCUAGGGAUCGAGUGAUGGGAGCGCACUCUGUCUCAUGGAGCUGAGCUCAAAUUUCUGGAGUGCAGAUUAUUUCUGCACAACAGUUUCAGCAUCAUUAAGCCAUUGCACAGAUCACCCCGAGUUUCAACCAAAAUAUGGACCAAAUCCAUAUUUAUAAAGGAUUCGACAAGACAAAUGUGUUUAAAGAGAGAAACAUACCCAUCCUAAUAUACUUGGUGUACAUGUUUGUUCAAUGCAUUUUAGAAAGGUAAUUGAAUUUACAAUUACAAAAUCAUAGUAUUAAAUAGGACAAGUUUGCAAUAGUCUUGUGAAAUGUGAAUUACCAAAUGCUUUGGUCACUAUUGAUAAUUCUCCCUAUUACAGAAGCAAAAUGAUUGCAAUCUAGUUUAGAUGUUGUGGUAAAUGGGCGUUGGUGGAGACAUCAUCCAGGCAUGGGACAUACCAAAGCCCACAGUCCCAUUGGGAGGGAAAGAAUAAGAAAGGAAACUUAAGUGGCAACGACAUGAUGCAGCACGCGCCGUCUGAAGGAAGCAUCAACUGAGGCGUGCCUAUCGAGCUUGUAGUGUCGGAUGAAUGGAGAAAUUGAGGUCCAUGUAGCCGUUCGGCAAAUUUCGUCCAACGAAGCUUGCGACAACCAGGCUGCAGAGGUGGCUGCGCUGCGUGUAGAGUGCGCCGUGAUAUGAGGUGGCACAGGCAGAGAGAGUACGGAAUACGCCCUAAAAAUAGCUGUCCGCACCCAAAGACCAAUGUCCAGGGAGGAGGCCUUGGAACCUCUCUUACCUCCAGGCUGGAACUUGACGAAGAGCCUCAGAGCGCCUGAAAGAAGCAGUUUGUUUAAUAUAAAUGCAUAAAGCACGACGUACAUCAAGGUAAUGCCACUUGCGUUCCAGUCUGUGUGAUGGCUGAGGACAGAAGUCAGGAAGCACCAAUUCCUGGGUUCUAUGAAAUACAGAAUUUACCUUAGGUACAAAGGCCGGGUCAAAUCGAAGGACUACCUUAUCUGGAUGAAGGAUGCAUAAAUCUUGUCUGAUGGACAAGACCGCCAACUCGGAAACUUGCCUCGCUGAAGUAAUGGCUACAAGAAAAACCACUUUUAAUGUCAAAACAUGCAAGGACAUAGAGUGCAAAGGCUCAAAUGGAGACUCAGUUAAGGAUUCCAGGACUUUGGAGACAUCCCAGGUAGGGAAUCUGUGUAUUGUUGGUGGCUUGAUGUUCGUGGCACCUCUCAAGAAACAACGAAUCAGAGGUUCAUGAGAGAGAGACUGAGCAGAAGCCAGAGAAAGGACUGAGGACAGGGCCGCAACCUGUCGGCGAAGUGUGUUCGGAGAAAGCCUAGGUCCAGCCCUCGCUGCACAAAUUGGAGAAUAUGAGGAACAGAAACCUCAAGAGGAAAAACACCCUUUGAGUGACACCAGACAGAGAAUUGGGUCCAAGUGGCAUCAUAAAUGCGAUUAGUAGAAGGACGUCUGGAGGCUUGAACUGUUCGAAUGACCUCCGCAGACAGGUUUGCAGUUCUUAGAGCUUCCCGCUCAACCUCCAAGCGGUGAGACGCAACCACGGAAGGUCUGGAUGUUGGAAUGCCCCUUGGAGGAGCAGCGAAGGGAACUGGGGCAGUUGCCACGGAAGAGCUACUGAGAGGUUCAUGAGGUCGGCAAACCAGGGUCUGCGGGGCCACCGAGGAGCAAUCAGGAUUAGUUCUGCCCUUUCCACCAGUAGUUUUCGCACCACCCUCUGAAUGAGUGGGGUAGGAGGAAAGGCAUAGAGAAGGCCCGGAGGCCAGUCGCUGGUCAUAUAUCCCCAUCAGUAUCAGUGGAGAGGUCCUCCAUAGGGUUGAAAUUAGUUGGAGGAGAAACCCUAGGAGCGGGGAGAGGAGUAGAGCAAUGAUUGUUCUUGGAAGUGGCCUUUUGUGGAGCAGGAGCAGGGGCCUUGUCAGUAGCUGCACUAAGAGUGGUAGUUUCCUGGACCUCCUGAGGAGGAGCAGGCCUAGAGGCCUUGGCAGGCUUGGCAGCAGAAGGCUUGGAAUGGCCUCUUUUUGCUCCUAGGCUCAGAGGGGACUGGAGUAGAAGGGGCAACUGGACUGGGUGAAUUCCCCCCCACUCGGGAAUGGUUCCGUUGGUUGCCAUUACUCACGAUUACUCUUCUAACCAGCAGAGAUCUUGCAAAGCGUCGUAGAAGGCUUCCCGCCCAAACAAAAUGGCCACCACUGUUUUUCGCGCCCCAAAUUAACUGCCUUCUGUUAGUAGACUGGGCCCUGAGGAAGGGCUGAGGUGGUGAGCCGACAAGGCAGCUUAUUGCCCGGCAGUUUUACUGCCCGUCAAGCGCUCCGGCGUGAGGAGAGGAUUCAGGAGCCUAAGGAGGAGGCUGUGGAGGCUUGGAAGGCAAUUCCUGUGGCCUCCGCGAUUAAAGGAGGCUCCUCCGGCAUGCGCAGCCGCAGCGAUCAUCCCUGAGGCAUCUGGCUGCAGCAAACUCUUUUCAGAGUUUUCCAAAACACCUUGUCAAAGAAACUGAAUGAACUAGUCCAGGCAGUCGUAUGAAGUCAAUGAAGGAAUGAAUGAAUGAAGGAAUGAAUGAUUUAACUGAAUAGACCUGGAGUGCCAGCCCAACACAAACCAUGGUAAUCCUCCAAGGAACAUGGUCUAUGCCUUUAGUCACAUAGCUAUAGUACAGCACCAGCAUCUUGAAUUGAAUCUGCAAGCAGAUUGGCAACCAGAGCAGCUCGUGAAGGAGAGGUAGUACAUGAACAUAAUAUUUUUAAAGAAUGCACUAUUUGUCAGUUUAACAAAAUUAGGAGUAAUAAAACUUCUUGAUGUGCUAAUAUUGAUAAAAUGGCAACUACAAAACAGAAUUCCUUUCUAUCAGUUGGAUGAAUGACAUUAGAACUUCCUGAAACAAAAUAAGUCACUUCAAAGUUACUGGAAACGAAGCCUUUAUUUCCUUCUCUUUUAAACUCCCUGCAAUUUAUUUUGGGUAGCAAUAAGGGAAAUACCAAAUUGGGGAUAGGCAAAUGUUGUCUCUAUGGAACAGCUUUCAGGAAAUCCCUGCCCAAAUCUAUUUGAGAAGUUGUACUUCAAAUGAAACAAGAUUGUUUCAUUCUGGGUAUGGACCCAAACAAGUAGCAAUGAACCAAAAUAGCAAA